UACGUAGGGUGCGAGCGUUGUCCGGAAUUAUUGGGCGUAAAGGGCUCGUAGGCGGUUUGUCGCGUCGGGAGUGAAAACCCAGGGCUUAACCCUGGGCUGGCUUCCGAUACGGGCAGACUAGAGGUAUGCAGGGGAGACUGGAAUUCCUGGUGUAGCGGUGGAAUGCGCAGAUAUCAGGAGGAACACCGGUGGCGAAGGCGGGUCUCUGGGCAGUAACUGACGCUGAGGAGCGAAAGCGUGGGGAGCGAACAGG
rnacentral:rRNA from 1 species